rnacentral:rRNA from 1 species
AGUGAACGCUGGCGGCGUGCCUAAUACAUGCAAGUCGAACGGAGUGGCGCACGGGUGAGUAAUAUAUAGAUAACUUUCCCAUUACUAAGGGACAACAGUUGGAAACGACUGCUAAUACCUUAUAGUAAUUGUUAGGGCUAUAUCGUAUCAGCUAGUUGGUAAGGUAACGGCUUACAAAGGCUAUGACGGGUAACUGGUCUGAGAGGAUGAUCAGUCACACUGGAACUGAGACACGGUCCAGACUCCUACGGGAGGCAGCGGUAGGGUAUAUUGCUAAAUGGGGGAAACCCUGAAGCAGCAACGGCGCGUGGAGGAUGACACUUUUCGGAGCAUAAACUCCUUUUCUUGGGAAAGCGGUACCCAAGGAAUAAGCACCGGCUAACUACGUGCCAGCAGCCGCGGUAAUAC